AGAGGAAAAGAAGGUUAAAGACCUUUACCGCGUCACACUCUACCACCCCUGUCUCUCCUCCAUAUCCAUUUGCCUCUUCCAUUUCCAAGCCUUUGAGUCAGGAGGUGCCACUGGUAAAGAACAGAAGAAAAGGUUGUCAAAAAUGUAGUAGGCAGAAGGUUUUCCUUUUUGAUAAAAUAACUGGGGAACGAAUAAAUGAGGGGAAAGCUGAAUUGAAAGUUCACUGGUUGCCUUGCACUGUGUGUGGCAAAACCUGGGAUGACACAUGGGAGCCUGCGAGUGAAUUCCAACACAUUGUGCCAAAGUCCCCACAUCCCAACCAGCUUUCAGCAUGACAACAUAGUCACCAUAGACACCUGGACUCAUCAAGCACCCUUCAAUGCAGUUUAUUUUUGAGUGUUUUU